rnacentral:rRNA from 1 species
UGUUCCCAUCUCGAACACAGUAGUUAAGCUCGUAAACGCCGAAAGUACUUGGCUGGAGACGGCCUGGGAGGAUAGGAAGUCGCUGAUU